CUGUGUCCUGUCCCAGGAGUUAGAUUUGAUGCAGUACCAAUUCCAACAUGAAGAUCUUUUAUGUGCUCUUUGCAUGCCUUUUCCUUGCAUUACUUCUUGAAUCAGUGAGAGCUCGUGCAACUUGUUUUGAACGAGGAGGACACUGCUAUGAACGUCCCUGUCCUGUAGGCUUCUACUUUAUUGGACAAUGGAAUUGUAAUGGCCUGGACAUUUGCUGUAAACAAAAAUAAUGCCAUCUACAUCUACUGCCGUGGAUAUCUUCAACAACUGGCCAAUGACCUGACAUCACCGUGUGCUAUAACUUUAUCUUUCCUUACAUAAAUCCAAAUUGCUAUCUAUCAGACUCUAAAAAUGCAUUGAAGUAAAACUUGGAAAUUUUUCCUUGAAAUACAGUUAAAUGAGCAAA